AGAAUUGAUCUUGGUCAGGAUUAACGCUGGCGGCGUGCCUAAUACAUGCAAGUCGAAUGGUAGCAAUACCAUGGCGAACGGGUGAGUAACACGUAGGUAACCUGUCUUUAUGCCGAGGAUAACCAUUGGAAACGAUGGAUAAUACUGGAUAGGACAAUUGAUGGCAUCAUUAAUUGUUUAAAGAUUUAUCACAUAGAGAGGGGCCUGCGGCGCAUUAGCUAGUUGGUGGGGUGAAGGCCUACCAAGGCGAUGAUGCGUAGCCGGACUGAGAGGUUGAACGGCCACAAUGGAACUGAGAACGGUCCAUACUCCUACGGGAGGCAGCAGUAGGGAAUUUUCGGCAAUGGGCGAAAGCCCUGACCGAGCAACGCCGCGUGAACGAAGAAGUAUUUCGGUAUGUAAAGUUCUUUUAUUAGGGACGAAAAAAUCAAAAUUGACGGUACCUAAUGAAUAAGCUCCGGCUAACUACGUGCCAGCCGCCGC
rnacentral:rRNA from 1 species